rnacentral:tRNA from 1 species
AAAGGGAGACCUAAUUCAGGUAGGAGACGGAAAAAAGGUAGUCGCUACCAAGAAUCAAUCCCAAAAGGUCGGAGCGAGGUUAAACUGGCUUUCAAACUAGGUUCUGGGUUCAAACGGGACCUGAAUCRGGAACAAGGGCUAUUAGCUCAGAUGGUUAGAGCGCACCCCUGAUAAGGGUGAGGUCCCUGGUUCGAGUCCAGGGUGGCCCACCUGCACAGGUGGCAAAAAUUAGAGAAGCGGGGGAUCAGCACCUUAUCUUAUUUACAUAGUAAGAGAGAAUGCUGGCUUUGAGUWWAGAGUCCAGAGGAACCUUGAAAACUGCAUAGAGCUAGGUGAAAAAGCCAAAAAAGAAAACCGCAAGGUCAAGUUAAUAAGGCA